rnacentral:rRNA from 1 species
GACGAACGCUGGCGGCGUGCUUAACACAUGCAAGUCGAACGGAAAGGCCCUGCUUUUGUGGGGUGCUCGAGUGGCGAACGGGUGAGUAACACGUGAGUAACCUGCCCUUGACUUUGGGAUAACUUCAGGAAACUGGGGCUAAUACCGGAUAGGAGCUCCUGCUGCAUGGUGGGGGUUGGAAAGUUUCGGCGGUUGGGGAUGGACUCGCGGCUUAUCAGCUUGUUGGUGGGGUAGUGGCUUACCAAGGCUUUGACGGGUAGCCGGCCUGAGAGGGUGACCGGCCACAUUGGGACUGCGAUACGGCCCAGACUCCUACGGGAGGCAGCAGUGGGGAAUCUUGCACAAUGGGCGGAAGCCUGAUGCAGCAACGCCGCGUGCGGGAUGACGGCCUUCGGGUUGUAAACCGCUUUCGCCUGUGACGCAGCGUGAGUGACGGUAAUGGGUAAAGAAGCACCGGCUAACUACGUG